CUCAUGCGUGGGCUGUGGUGUGAAGGCAGCAGAAAGCACUGGGUCAGAGACUGUCGAAGCUCCACCAUAUAGUCCUCCAGGGCCUCAACAGGCUGACUCUUGAUGCUGAAGAUGACUGUAACCAUAGAGACUGUACCAGCACCAGCAACCAGAGAUACAUGACCAGAAAAUAAGGAUGAAGCCUUCUAACAUCUACAUGACUAUAACACGUGCAUUAUUUUUUGCUAAUGCUAUUUAGCCUAUUUAUUUGACUUAGUUGUCCCAGAUCCUUAUAACCUGCAUUCUCAUCUAAAUAUAAGGCUUUGUGUUUUCAAGAGUGAAUCAAGAGCCACCCAUUUAAGUUGUAAUUUUACUGAUCUGCUUGGAAUAUGAUGCUGGCUUUAAAUGUGAAUUAGCAAUGAUCCACUAAUGCCUGGCAGUCUGUCUAUACAAUCUCAACAUUAUUACUGUACAGUGUAAAUAAAUCUAUUGCACA
rnacentral:lncRNA from 1 species